UUCUUGGCUUUAAUACUGUGAACCCAGCCUCUUUCCUUAGUAACAGAGUUUAUUGCAUCAAGACCAUGGACACGGUAUACUCCAGCCGACCACCCCUAGAAGAUGCAGAGGCCUGGUGUAUAGACGGCAGCACCUUCGUCCGCCAGGGAUAUGCGGUACCUCACAGGAUAUGCGGUAGCAAACAUCAGCCCAAAAGGCUGAAAUCAUCGCCUUGGUACACACGAGAGGUCAGUCUGCAGGUUCUGAAGGCAAAGAAACUGCUCUGGUUUGAUGUGAAGAACCAAGACAUAGGUUGCUGUCAGAGAAAAGAUGCUGUCAAAGUGUGUCACGUCUAUGCUAGAGCACCUCUACCACCAUCUAUACUGCAUCUAUAUGCAUCUCUACUAGAGCAUCUCUACUUAUCCAGUCUGGGUGAUCUUACGAGCAUUCUGAAGACCCAGAGGAGGGUCUGUUUGUCUUUUCUGCUUUUAUAGCCAGUGAAAAUUCUUACAAUUUUACACAGAGGGGACGAAAAACACUAAGUGUACUUCCAAUCUUCACAACUUCUAAGCAAGCGGAGAUGAGGUUGUGGAACAACCAAAUAAACUGUUGAUCUAGAAGCAGCCUAAAGAUUGUCUUUAAGCAGGACCUUGCAUUCUUCAUUUUUAUAGCAUUACUUGCCUUCAAGUGCACGAUCAUUAUUUUAUUACCUUUCUACCCCUACAGAAAUGCACCUGAUUCUUUCACAAAACUUACGGGUGGUCAUUGGAAAUAUUCCUCAGCAUUCGUCUCAGUUCUCUUUUGGCCUGUGAAGCUUUUAAGAUCAGAGAUGAAGAUCAGCUAUAAUAUGGAGUUUUGGAAAAUUACCAGGACAUACAGUUCUCCUCUAGCUUGCUUUGUUUCACUCAGAAUCUGAGUCUUGAGUCACAGUCAGGGAGCAGCAUUGUACAGAAAUGCCAAAGCCUCCCCAGACUUGUUGUAUCUUCCUCAACAAGGGCUUUG